AAGUGAUAACUUUCAA
rnacentral:tRNA from 1 species